GAUGAACGCUGGCGGCGUGCUUAACACAUGCAAGUCGAACGGAAAGGCCGAAGCUUGCUUCGGUACUCGAGUGGCGAACGGGUGAGUAACACGUGGGUGAUCUGCCCUGUACUUCGGGAUAAGCUUGGGAAACUGGGUCUAAUACCGGAUAUGACAAUCUCUUGGAUGGGGUUGUGGAAAGCUUUUGCGGUAUGGGAUGAGCUCGCGGCCUAUCAGCUUGUUGGGGGGGUAAUGGCCUACCAAGGCGUCGGCGGGUAGCCGGCCUGAGAGGGUGUACGGCCACAUUGGUACUGAGAGACGGCCCAGACUCCUACGGGAGGCAGCAGUGGGGAAUAUUGCACAAUGGGCGCAAGCCUGAUGCAGCGACGCCGCGUGGGGGAUGACGGCCUUCGGGUUGUAAACUCCUUUCGCAACCGACGAAGCUUUUGUGACGGUAGGUUGAGAAGAAGCACCGGCUAACUACGUG
rnacentral:rRNA from 1 species